rnacentral:rRNA from 1 species
ACUCAAAGGAAUUGACGGGGGCCCGCACAAGCGGUGGAGCGUGUGGUUUAAUUCGAUGGUAAGCGAGGAACCUUACCAGGGCUAGAAAUUCAGCUGCAUACCCGAUGAAAGUUGGGUAGCCUUCGAGGGUGCUGAACAGGUGCUGCACGGUUGUCGUCAGCUCGUGUCGUAAGAUGUUCCCUUAAGUGGGGUAACGAGCGCAACCCCCGUGACGUGUUACUUUUCACGUCAGACUGCCGUGGUUAACACGGAGGAAGGCGGGGACGACGUCAAAUCAGCGUGGUCCUCUGACGCCCUGGGCGACACACGCGCUACAAUGGCUGGGACAGUGAGUCAUGCGAACCCGCGAGGGGAAGCUAAUCUUAUAAACCCAGCCUCAGUUCGGAUUGGAGUCUGCAACUCGACUCCAUGAAGCUGGAAUCGCUAGUAACCGCGAAUCAGCCACGUCGCGGUGAAUACGUUCUCGGGCUUUGUACACACCGCCCGU